rnacentral:rRNA from 1 species
AGGGAGCUUGCUCCUGGAUUCAGCGGCGGACGGGUGAGUAAUGCCUAGGAAUCUGCCUGGUAUGGGGGAUAACGUCCGGAAACGGGCGCUAAUACCGCAUACGUCCUGAGGGAGAAAGUGGGGGAUCUUCGGACCUCACGCUAUCAGAUGAGCCAAGGUCGGAUUAGCUAGUUGGUGGGGUAAAGGCCUACCAAGGCGACGAUCUAUAACUGGUCUGAGAGGAUGAUCAGUCACACUGGAACUGAGACACGGUCCAGACUCCUACGGGAGGCAGCAGUGGGGAAUAUUGGACAAUGGGCGAAAGCCUGAUCCAGCCAUGCCGCGUGUGUGAAGAAGGUCUUCGGAUUGUAAAGCACUUUAAGUUGGGAGGAAGGGCAGUAAGUUAAUACCUUGCUGUUUUGACGUUACCAACAGAAUAAGCACCGGCUAACUUCGUGCCAGCAGCCGCGGUAAUACGAAGGGUGCAAGCGUUAAUCGGAAUUACUGGGCGUAAAGCGCGCGUAGGUGGUUCAGCAAGUUGGAUGUGAAAUCCCCGGGCUCAACCUGGGAACUGCAUCCAAAACUACUGAGCUAGAGUACGGUAGAGGGUGGUGG